rnacentral:rRNA from 1 species
GUAGGGUGCAAGCGUUAAUCGGAAUUACUGGGCGUAAAGCGUGCGCAGGCGGUUUUGUAAGUCAGAUGUGAAAUCCCCGGGCUUAACCUGGGAACUGCGUUUGAAACUACAAGGCUAGAGUGUGGCAGAGGGGGGUGGAAUUCCACGUGUAGCAGUGAAAUGCGUAGAGAUGUGGAGGAACACCGAUGGCGAAGGCAGCCCCCUGGGUUAACACUGACGCUCAGGCACGAAAGCGUGGGGAGCAAACAGGAUUAGAUACCCUGGUAGUCCACGCCCUAAACGAUGUCAACUAGUUGUCGGGUCUUAACGGACUUGGUAACGCAGCUAACGCGUGAAGUUGACCGCCUGGGGAGUACGGUCGCAAGACUG